CACUUCAGCAGGCCACCAGCGAAAAGAGGCAAGCACCUUGUUUAGAUCCAAAUUUUUUUUGGAUUUUGUACUGUAGCAAUUUCAUUUUUAUUUAACAAACAUUAUCUAAUCAUAGAACAACUAGGUUUAAAAGAUUCGUCUCGUGAUUUACAGAUAAACUGUAUAAUUAGUUAUCUUUUUUAUAUCUAUAUUUAAUGUUUCAUGUAUGUGUCGCAAGAUUCGAUGUGAUGGAGAAUCCUGCGGAUGACGCUCCCCGUGAUGGACCACCUCCGCCGUCUGAUGCUGUUGCUGUCAGACAAGCCUGCAUGCCCAUUACCCAGCGCCACUCGCAAAUUGCAACCCCAAAGAGAAAAUUUCCAAACACCAGAAUUAACGAUGUUUUCUUAGGUCUUAUUUAGAUCUAAUUUUUUUUUUGAUUUUUGACAUGGUAGCAAUUUCGUUUUUUUUUAUAAAAAUUAUUCAAUUAUAGAGUAACUAGGCUUAAAAGAUUCGUCUCACGAUUUACAGACGAACUGUGUAAUUAAUUUUUAUUUUCAUCUAUAUUUAACACUUCAUCAUGUGCCGCAAGAUUUAAUGUGAUGAGAAAAUCUUAAAAAGUUUUUGGUUUUUGGUGAAGUAAACCGGGCCUUAUUUGACACCGAAAUUUCAUUCCUAUAUCUUCUCAUCUCAUGUUUUUCUUUUCUAUGACAUUUCCAUUAGUUCUGUGAGCUAGCAGUGCAAGCACUGCUAGUUAGUUGUCCGAGCGAGACAAUAGGAAAAACUAAAAUGCCCUUUGAAAGAAACAAAGAGAGGAAUUUGGACAUCUCUCCCGAGUCGCGAUUCAUCCUCCCGAGCCAGGUAGCUACAAAUUUUGAUAGAAAUAUAUACAAAUCUCAUGAAAUAUAUUGAUCACUUAAUUGUGUUGUCAUUUAAUCAAUCAAAACCCACUUAGGGCUAUACAAGUUGACCAAGGCCUUAUUUAGUUGCGAAAAUAUUUUGGUUUUGGAUACUGUAACAUUUUUCGUUUUUAUUUGGUCUUUAUUGUUCAAUCAUAGAUUAACUAGGAUCAAAAGAUUCAUCUCGUGAUUUAUAGAUAAACUGUGUAAUUAGUUUUUGUUUUCGUCUAUAUUUAAUGUUUUAUGCAUGUGCCGUAGAAUUCAAUAUGACAUAAAAUCUUAAAAUUUUGUUUGUUUUUAGAAUGAACUAAACAUGCUUGUCGUAGUAAUAACUAGUCUAGCCUUU
rnacentral:lncRNA from 1 species